GCUCCCGUAGUGUAGCCCGGCCAAUCAUUUCGGCCUUUCGAGCCGAAGACCCGGGUUCAAAUCCCGGCGGGAGCA
rnacentral:tRNA from 1 species